GCCAGGUGUGGUGGCGCACACCUGUAAUUCCAGCUACUCAGGAGGCUGAGGCAGGAGAAUUGCUUGAACCCAGGAGGCGGAGGAUGCAGUGAGCUGAGAUCGUGCCACUGCACUCCAGCCUGGGUGACAGAGUGAGACUCUGUCUAAA
ensembl:misc_RNA Metazoa_SRP Metazoan signal recognition particle RNA